rnacentral:pre_miRNA from 1 species
AAUAUACUCCCUCCGUUUGGAAUUACUUGUCUCGAAAAUAGAUGUAUCUAGAACUAAAAUACGUCUAGAUACAUCCAUUUCCGCGACAAGUAAUUCCGAACGGAGGGAGUAUCUG